GAUGAACGCUGGCGGCGUGCCUAAUACAUGCAAGUCGAGCGAACAGACGAGGAGCUUGCUCCUCUGACGUUAGCGGCGGACGGGUGAGUAACACGUGGAUAACCUACCUAUAAGACUGGGAUAACUUCGGGAAACCGGAGCUAAUACCGGAUAAUAUAUUGAACCGCAUGGUUCAAUAGUGAAAGACGGUUUUGCUGUCACUUAUAGAUGGAUCCGCGCCGCAUUAGCUAGUUGGUAAGGUAACGGGUUACCAAGGGAACUAUGCGUAGCCGACCUUGGGGGGGGGUUCGCCACCCGUGGACGUGAGACGCGACCCGGACCCCGAGGGAAGGCAGAAGUAGGGAAUCUUCGCAAAUGGGGGAAAGCCUGCCGAAGCAACGCCGGGUGAGUGAGGAAGGGCUCCGGAUCGUAAAACGCUGUUAUUGGGGAAAACCAAAUGCGUAAGUAACUAUGCACGUCUGAAGGGAACCGAAUAAGAAACCCACGCUAACUUCCGU
rnacentral:rRNA from 1 species